rnacentral:rRNA from 1 species
GAUGAACGCUGGCGGCGUGCCUAAUACAUGCAAGUCGAGCGAAGCGGGGACGGGUGAGUAACACGUGGAUAACCUCCUAUAAGACUGGGAUAACUUCGGAAAACCGGAGCUAAACCGGAUAAUUAUAGAUGGAUCCGUGCUGCAUUAGCUAGUUGGUAAGGUAACGGCUUACCAAGGCAACGAUGCAUAGCCGACCUGAGAGGGGGUUCAGGCCCACUGGUACUUAGACACGGUCCAGACUCCCACGGGAGGCAGCAGUAGGGAAUCUUCCGCAAUGGGCGAAAGCCUGACGCAGCAACGCCGCGUGAGUGAUGAAGGUCUUCGGGUUGUAAACCUCUGUUAUUAGGGAAGCGGUACCUAAUCAGAAAGCCACGGCUAACUACGUGCCAGCAGCCGCGGUAAUUC